UAGGGAAUCUUCCACAAUGGGCGAAAGCCUGAUGGAGCAACGCCGCGUGUGUGAUGAAGGGUUUCGGCUCGUAAAACACUGUUGUAAGAGAAGAAUGACAUUGAGAGUAACUGUUCAAUGUGUGACGGUAUCUUACCAGAAAGGAACGGCUAAAUACGUGCCAGCAGCCGCGGUAAUA
rnacentral:rRNA from 1 species